GCCUCGGUUAGCGCAGGCAGCAGCAGCGUCAGUCUCAUAAUCUGAAGGUCGUGAGUUCGAUCCUCACCCGGGGCA